CCUACGGGCGGCAGCAGUGAGGAAUAUUGGUCAAUGGACGAGAGUCUGAACCAGCCAAGUCGCGUGAAGGAUGACUGUCCUAUGGGUUGUAAACUUCUUUUAUAUGGGAAUAAAACGUUCCACGUGUGGGAUUUUGUAUGUACCAUAUGAAUAAGGAACGGCUAACUCCGUGCCAGCAGCCGCGGUAAUACGGAGGAGCCGAGUGUUAUCCGGAUUGAUUGGGUUUAAAGGGAGCGUAGGUGGAUUGUUAAGUCAGUUGUGAAAGUUUGGGGCUCAACCGUGGAAUUGCAGUUGAAACUGGCAGUCUUGAGUACAGUAGAGGUGGGCGGAAUUCGUGGUGUAGCGGUGAAAUGCUUAGAGAUCACGAAGAACUCCGAUGGCGAAGGCAGUUCACUGGACUGCAACUGACGCUGAGGCUCGAAAGUGUGGGUAUCAAACAGGAUUAGAUACCCGUGUAGUC
rnacentral:rRNA from 1 species